AAUGCAUACAUACAUACAUAAAUAAAGUUGGAACAAUACAGAGAAUAUUAGCAUGGCCCCUGCCCAAGGAUGACACGCACAUUCUUGAAGUGUUCCAUAUUUAA